rnacentral:lncRNA from 1 species
GAUUCAUUUCGCAACACCUACGGCUUCCACUAGAUGUCAACGAUCUUUAUAAAGUUGUUUGAAGCGUCUAUGAUAAACAGAGAGCAAAUUAGAAUGCAAGGAAGUUGACAUGUCAUCACUUCAUUUUUUUGCGCCUGAUGUUUAACGUUAAAAAUGGACCAAAAGAUUAAUGCUAAGCAACGUUUGACAUGUUUGAACGAACGUAAAUAGAUUAUUUACUAGUUUUUUUUAGCUUUUCGGCGUGAUUUUACAACCCCCCCCACCACGUUUUGUGGGAGCAUAAUGAACGCUAACUACUUGGUGUUAUUUGGACAUAAAUUAUGAACUUUGUCAAAAGAAACCACAUUUGUUCCGGACCUGGGAUUCCUGGCAGUGCCUUCUGAUGGAGAUAAUCAAAGACCUGAGCCCUAGGACCAAGCCUCAGGACUACCUGGCCCGAUGACUCCUGGCUGUCCCCGUCCCCAGAUGAUCUGGUCGUGCUGCUGCUCCAGUUCCAACUGUUCUGCAUGUGGCUGUAGAACACUGACCUGUUCACCGGACGUGCUUCUGCGCUCUCUCUCUCUCUCUCUCUCUCUCUCUCUCUCUCUCUCUCUCUCUCUCUCUCUCUCUCUCUCUCUCUCUCUCUCUCUCUCUCUCUCAGCAUAUGCUGUUUCGACCUCUGAAUACUUGGCUGUAAAAAUCCAACUGACAUUUACUCCUGAGGAACGUUUGAACAUCUUGAAGAUCGAUCUGGCCUUAAUGUCCAUGUACUCUUAUAAUCUCCAUCCGGUACAGCCAGAAGACUGGCCACCCCUCAGAGCCUUGUUCCUCUCAAAGGAGUUUUUCUAGCUUGCUGUUUGGGGUUUUUGGCUGGGUUUCUGUAUAAAUACUUUGUGACACCUGCGGAUGUAAAAAAGGAUUUAUAAAUACAUUUGAUUUGGGAGUUUUUUCUCUCUCUGAUGUGUGUGUCCAUCAUUCACUCACCCAGACCUCUCUGGGUUAAACAUCCUGCUGGCGCUCCAAGGUGAAUGAGCUGGAUGAGGGAUUUGAACCAGGUCACAAGUCUAUUAACCUUAUCAUUAAAGAACACAGCAAAAAAAUGUUUCCCUCAGCUGUUACCUGAAAUACAUCACAUCCUCUGCUAUUCUCUGUAGUUUAGUUUUCUUAUUCAACGCACAUCUGCUCUCUGCUCGCUGUAGUCAAGUUGCUGUCUCUCUGAGGCGUGUCCUUCACAAGCUCACCCAGACCACUCCGGGUUAAACAUCCUGCUGGCGCUCCAAGGUGAACGGGCUGGACGAGGGAUUUGAACCAGGUCACAAAUCUAUUAACCUUAUCAUUAAAGAACACCGAGGAUUUCAUACAUAUGUUUCCCUCAGCUGUUACCUCAAACACAUCACAUCUUCUGCUAUUCUCUGUAGUCUAGUUUUCUUAUUCAACGCACAUCUGCACUUUUCUUAUUCAACUCACAUCUGAAGUUGCUGUCUCUGAAACAGUAAAUAGAUGAGAAUUGGCAAUUCUUUUGUCCCAGUUGUUGGUGUUUCUGAACCUUUUUUCUUCAUGCAAAUAUUUAUUCAUUUUCUGUUUGAUUACAUUGCUGUUUGAUGCCCCAUGGUCAUGAUACGAAAACAUAUUUGAUGACUCAUCACUGCUGCUGGAUUUUGAUUUGUUAUUCAGGUAGCGAUCCUGUGUGUUUGUUGUUGCUUAGAAAUCGAUUUUCUUGCCUUUGUUCAAUUUUCUUUGUUGUCUUUAUUUCCCCUGCCCCUGUUCCGACAGGUGCAUGAUAAUGGCCUAUUCUAAAUGAAAACUAAUUUCACACAUAUAUUACUUAGUAUAUGUAAAGACCAGAUUAAAUUGAGAGUAGUCUGAUGGGUUAGAAUAUUAACACUUGUGAAUGAUGCCUAUCGUGUGCGGUCCAAGGCAAGAAACAGUGCAUGCAUUUUUUUUUUUACUUUUUCAUAUCAUAGUUGUAUGCAUCAUGUAGGUUUUAUUAACUUUUGUAUCACAACUAAAGUGGCCAAAUAACUGUAAUUAAUCCACUUUACAACCGGUGUAGCCUACCUGGCAUAUAAAAAACCAUAUCCACAGGAAGCUCCUCCUCGCUAUUCGAGUGCAGGCUAUGGAUGACUUUUUUGGUGGGCAUUCUAAAUAAAUAACACAUUUUAGGUGUACAAAACAUUAAGAACACCUUCUCUUUCCAUGACAUAGACUGUCCAGGUGAAUCCAGGUGAAAGCUAUGAUCCCGUAUUGAUGUCACUUGUUAAAUCCACUUCUGUCAGUGUAGAUGAAGGGGAGGAGGCAGGUUAAAUAAGGAUUGUAAAGCCUUGAGACAACUGAGACAUGGAUUGUGUAUGUGUGCCAUUCAGAAGGUGAAUGGGCAAAACAAAAUAUUGAAGUGCAUUUGACAACCAACAGUUUCCCGUGAGCAUCAAAAAUGGUCCACCACCCAUUCAAUAUUAGGAAGGUGUCCUUAAUGUUUUGUACACUCAGUGUAUAUCAGUAGGCUAUAUGUAUAAGUAGAUUAAAUUGAGAAUAGUCUGAUGGGUGAGAAUAUUAUCAAGUGCUUGUCAAAUUGUGAAUGAGACACUGACGAAGUGUGUGCAGCCAGCAGCAAGAAGCAAAACAGAGUGCCUGCCUUUAGUGCAACAUUUUUCAAAUCAUCAUUAGAGUGGCAUCAGGCACCCUUAGAAUAUAGCCCAAGGUUUGUAUGGUAACUAUAAAUUUAGCAUAUAGGAAGACCUGUUUCAUUUUAUUUCAUUUUAUUUUAUUUCAUUUUAGGAGAUGAGUGACUUACAGGAGGAAUUAGGGUUAAGUACCUUGCUCAAGGACACAUGGAAAGAUUUUUCCACCUGGUCAGCUCGGGGAUUUGAACCAGCGACCUUUUGGUUACUGGCCCAACGCUCUUAAGCGCUUAUCACUUUGUUAACCACUCAACACAGAAUAGCUGUAUGUGCCCACUCCCUCCAUCGGAAAUCGAAUGGGAAAAACAACCUUUCUAUUUUAUUCAGCUAUGUUUAAUUUUAUUCUUCUUACUAUAAAAUAAUGCCACAGGAAUUGUGAGCAAAUCUUGUCUGCUAAAUGAAAUAGUGUAGCCCACAGCCAUAUGGCAUAGCCGGAUCAGGACCUAACAUAAGCACAACUUAGAAUAUGCUAUUAUUCUGUUCUUCUGAAAUAUUUUUUCUUUAUGUCCUACCUAAAAUAAUUCAUGUAUUUAUUGUGAUGGUGCAGGCUAUAUUAAAUGGAUUUAUUAUUAGACUUUUAUAAAAAAUUAGAUGUUCCAAAGGCCCGCAUCUGUGACUUGUAGGCUAUACGUGGAAACCUGGAGAUGCUUAAUGUGUUUAUAUUAAUUAACGGUCAAUUACCGUGAGACCGACAGUUGUUUACAGUUGUCAUCUCAAGCAAUGAAACCCCACUGUAGAGAGCCGUCAUUAUGAUUGAAAUCUAAAAGUAAUUCCAGCGUUCAUCACAUCUUAACAUGCUGGGGAAAUUGGUAUUGUCUUCUUGUGGAGAUCGACAAAGCACGGUUUUGCUUUCAUGCUGAGCUCUGAUUAACAGAGUGAGGAAUAUAGGUUUAACUAAUUUGCUUCUUAAAUUGCUCUGUCUGAUUGCUUUGUGGAUGUAGAAUAGGUUCCGACUCAUUCUGUUUGCAGGAUGAUCCUACAAUUUACACACAAAGCCUUGCAGUCUCCUGACAGUUGUGUGAUUUAGUAGCCUACACAUGGGACAUGGUACAUGAGAGACAGUGUGUGUGUGUGUGUGUGUGUGUGUGUGUGUGUGUGUGUGUGUGUGUGUGUGUGUGUGUGUGUGUGUGUGUGUGUGUGUGUGUGUGUGUGUGUCCAUGUCAUAUGCUGUGUGUAUAUGACAUGGGUUCCAAAAGGGUUCUUCGGCUGUCCCCAUAGCUCUGACGAAGGCCUUGAGGCCGAAAACGUAAAGCUUAAUAAAGAGCAGCAAUACUAGUAAGAGCAGUGUGCAGGUUUCUUCUUUUUUUCUCACGUUAUUCAAUUAUUACUAUGCACUUGCAACAAAGAUAGCUCAGAUGUGAGAGUGCUUUUUGAAUUUUGAAUCUAAAUGGAACCAAAAAGGGUACUUCAAAGGGUUCUCCUGUGGUGACAGCUAAUUGUGGUGACAGCUAAGGUUAUAGAUUGCACCUUUUUUUCUAAGAGUUUAUGUAUGUGUGUGGGUGAAGUAGUGAAUGGUUAUUCCCAUAUACUAUCCACAAAUGCACCACACAGGCCAUAGACUCAUCUGAUUGAUUUAGUACAACAAAAUAAAGUCUGUAUGUUACAAAAAGUAACAUUGUGUAUGUC